CGCCGUUCCCCCGGGUCGGGGGCGGGGCCGGCUUCGCGGCGCCGCUGAGUUUCCCCGCCAGCGGACCAAUGAAUCGUGUGCGGCCGCGUCUUCGCCCCGCCCCUUCCGCCAGGCCCCGCGCCAGGCUGGCUUGACUGACAGGUGGGCGCGGGACUGGCGGGCGCAGAGUGAGUGACGGGCGCGGGUGGGCAGGAGCGCACGAGGCUGACUGGCGGGCGGCCUCCAUCUUUCCCGGCCACUUCUCCGCCUCCGUUUGUGAGGGGCUUUGGACCAAGGCAGUUUGUAAACCCGCCUCGGGGCGCCCGUAGCCUCAGCGGACCGAGGGAACUUUCCAGAACCUUGCAGCGCCUUCUUAUACCUGAAGAUCCUCUGCUGAAACAUUCAAGUUCAGAACCCCCCCACCCCCCGUCCGCGCACACCCACAAAAGGGGGCCGCGCCUGUUGCAAAUCACCUGCUUGCUUAGUCCGGUACCUGGGAAGGAGGGCUCCUGCGCGGAGCCUGGGAGGCCGGCGCUCUGUGCAGUCGAUCCAAAGGACCCCUGCCUCUUCCUAUGAUGAUGUUAAACGGAGUUUGGGCAAGCUGGCCAGAAGAAAGUAAAAAAAUCUGCCGUUGGGAAUGUGGAAAUACUGGUUUCAAUCUGCAGUUGACUGAAUUCGCCGAUGUGAAAUCCGUGAAGGCCAAGUGUGUUUAUUGAAAAAAAUCCAUGAAUACAUGGACUUGUGCAGUCCAAACUGAUGUUGUUCAAGAUGUGAGAAUAAACAAGUAAUCUUUUCUGUCAAA